rnacentral:rRNA from 1 species
UACAGAGGUGCCGAGCGUUAUCCGGAUUCAUUGGGUUUAAAGGGUGCGUAGGCGGAUUGAUAAGUCAGUGGUGAAAGCCUGCAGCUUAACUGCAGAACUGCCAUUGAUACUGUCAAUCUUGAGUACAUUUGAUGUGGGCGGAAUGUGUCAUGUAGCGGUGAAAUGCUUAGAUAUGACACAGAACACCGAUUGCGAAGGCAGCUCACAAAACUGUAACUGACGCUGAGGCACGAAAGCGUGGGUAUCAAACAGG